CUGCCUUUCAGAGGGGGAUAACGUUUGGAAACGAACGCUAAUACCGCAUAAAAUAUCCAGCAGGCAUCUGCAGGAUAUCAAAGGAGUAAUCCGCUGAAAGAUGGGCUCGCGACCGAUUAGCUAGAUGGUGAGGUAACGGCUCACCAUGGCGACGAUCGGUAGCCGGACUGAGAGGUUGACCGGCCACAUUGGGACUGAGACACGGCCCAGACUCCUACGGGAGGCAGCAGUGAGGGAUAUUGGGCAAUGGGGGAAACCCUGACCCAGCGACGCCGCGUGAGGGAAGACGGUCUUCGGAUUGUAAACCUCUGUCUUUGGGGACGAAAAAGGACGGUACCCAAGGAGGAAGCUCCGGCUAACUACGUGCCAGCAGCCGCGGUAGUACGUAGGGAGCGAGCGUUGUCCGGAAUUACUGGGUGUAAAGGGAGCGUAGGCGGGAUUGCAAGUUGGAUGUGAAAACUGCGGGCUCAACCCGGAGCGUGCAUUCAAAACUGCGAUUCUUGAGUGAAGUAGAGGCAAGCGGAAUUCCUAGUGUAGCGGUGAAAUGCGUAGAUAUUAGGAGGAACACCAGUGGCGAAGGCGGCUUGCUGGGCUUUUACUGACGCUGAGGCUCGAAAGUGUGGGGAGCAAACAGGAUUAGAUACCCUGGUAGUCCACACUGUAAACGAUGA
rnacentral:rRNA from 1 species